GACGAACGCUGGCGGCGUGCUUAACACAUGCAAGUCGAACGGAAAGGCCCUGCUUUUGUGGGGUGCUCGAGUGGCGAACGGGUGAGUAACACGUGAGUAACCUGCCCUUGACUUUGGGAUAACUUCAGGAAACUGGGGCUAAUACCGGAUAGGAGCUCCUGCUGCAUGGUGGGGGUUGGAAAGUUUCGGCGGUUGGGGAUGGACUCGCGGCUUAUCAGCUUGUUGGUGGGGUAGUGGCUUACCAAGGCUUUGACGGGUAGCCGGCCUGAGAGGGUGACCGGCCCCCUUGGGCCUGAGAUACGGCCCAGACUCCUACGGGAGGCAGCAGUGGGGAAUAUUGCACAAUGGGCGGAAGCCUGAUGCAGCAACGCCGCGUGCGGGAUGACGGCCUUCGGGUUGUAAACCGCUUUCGCCUGUGACGAAGCGUGAGUGACGGUAAUGGGUAAAGAAGCACCGGCUAACUACGUG
rnacentral:rRNA from 1 species